rnacentral:tRNA from 1 species
GCGGUUGUGGCGGAAUUGGUAGACGCGCUAGAUUCAGGUUCUAGUGGGCGAUAGCCUGUGAGAGUUCGAGUCUCUCCAACCGCA